rnacentral:rRNA from 1 species
AGAGUUUGAUCCUGGCUCAGGACGAACGCUGGCGGCGUGCUUAACACAUGCAAGUCGAACGAGACGAUUUAGAAGCUUGCUUUUAUUGAGUCGAGUGGCAAACGGGUGAGUAACGCGUAGACAACCUGCCGCAAAGAUGGGGACAACAGUCCGAAAGGACUGCUAAUACCGAAUGUUGUGCAUUCUCCGCAUGGAGGAUGCAUUAAAGAUGGCCUCUACUUGUAAGCUAUCGCUUUGCGAUGGGUCUGCGUCUGAUUAGCUAGUUGGUGGGGCAACGGCCUACCAAGGCGACGAUCAAUAGCCGGUCUGAGAGGAUGAACGGCCACAUUGGAACUGAGACACGGUCCAGACUCCUACGGGAGGCAGCAGUGGAGAAUCUUCCGCAAUGGGCGAAAGCCUGACGGAGCAACGCCGCGUGAGUGAAGAAGGUCUUCGGAUCGUAAAGCUCUGUUGUCGGGGACGAAUGUUGAGAUCUAGAAUAUAGAUUUCAAAUGACGGUACCUGACGAGGAAGCCACGGCUAACUACGUGCCAGCAGCCGCGGUAAUACGUAGGUGGCGAGCGUUGUCCGGAAUUAUUGGGCGUAAAGGGAGCGCANGCGGGAAGGUAAGUCUAUCUUAAAAGUGCGGGGCUCAACCCCGUGAGGGGAUAGAAACUAUCAUUCUUGAGUGCAGGAGAGGAAAGCGGAAUUUCCUAGUGUAGCGGUGAAAUGCGUAGAUAUUAGGAGGAACACCAGUGGCGAAGGCGGCUUUCUGGACUGUAACUGACGCUGAGCUCGAAAGCCAGGGNNCGACGGGNUUAGAUACCCCCGGUAGUCCUNNNGUAAACGAUGA